GGGGGGGGUUUGGUUUUUUAAUGUAAUAGCCCAUUGUUUAUACUGUAGUGAGAACAGACAGAUAUCAAGAACAAGAUUAAGACAGCCUUUUAAGUCUCCAGUAAGUAUCUCAACGAAAUAAUUUGACCUGUUUGAAUACGAGAUGUGGGGAGUCAGAUAUCAGGACAGGAAAAAAUAAUUUUCUUCCUGGGAGGACAACCUGGAGACAAAAAUUCCUGCAGACCAACUGAGUAUUUUUGUACUAAAACGCAUGUGGAUAUACUGUAUAGUGUUCUAGCUGACCAUAGUUUUAAAUUCAAGAAAUAAUGUCUGUCAACCAUAUGUUAUUGUGCCCAUAGUGGAACAUGGGGGUUAAGGAGGGGGACAUUGGGAUUUACAGUAUGACGGUAUUAGCUUAUUUUUCUUAUGGUAUUGGGUCAUUCCAGAAAACAUCCAUACCACCCCCACGGAGGAAAUAGGAAGUUAACCCUCCUACCCCCUUCAGAUGUCCUAAUACAUUUACUAUUAUCAGAAACAAUUUUUUCUCCCCUCCCCCUCCAGACGGCAGAAAUUUCCUCCGUGGGGGGAGUAUGGAUCUUUUCUGGAACGACCCAUUUCGGUGUUUUCCUUGAAAAAUUGCGGUACCGGUAUUACGAUAUUGGAAAUCUUGCUGUACACAGUAUUUGCAAUUUUGGACUCAAAAACUGCGGUAAUUGACAACAUUUGCUUGCGGUAUUACAGUGUUGAAUACCCCCCAAUGCCCCCCUCGUUGAGGUUUCCUUCAAAUUUUCAAUAGCAAAUCUUCAUUCAAACGAAUUUCCUGCAGCUGUUUAACAUUUUAUGUGAGCAGGGCUUGCCUAUUUUUUCAGUCCACCCCUGUCAGGGGUGAUAGUGCAGUAUUCUAGCUAACUCAUGAAUGCCCAAAUUAGUUUUACUGUGUAGAUCAAGCACACAAUUUGCCUACUUUGUCGUACCGGUAGUUAGUAAGUUGUGUGACAAUCUUACUUGUCAAGGGGAUAGUGUUGGCACUUGUUAGACCCAUUGAGUAAAAUAAUAAAGUAGGGCACAUCAGGGUCACAGAAUAGAGACAAACAGAAGAUUGACUUCUUGGUUUUUCCUAUCAUUUUGGGUAACCGUAAUUUGUCAUCAAAAUGCUGACGGCUGUGGUUUAGCCAGUACACUUAUGAGAGGCAUUCACCCCACUGAUAAUAUUCAAAAUGGUAGACGUCCAGGGGGUGUAUGGCUCUCAUAAGCGCACUGGCCAGGACCAUGGCGUGACAGCGGGUACACUUUUUUGGAUGAGUCGACCCUCUGUGUGCAUGUCUUUAUUCUUUGUCAGGGUGCUUUGCAACUUAAUGGGUUAAUUAACCAGAUCAUAUGGCCAUGGGUCCUGAUAACCCAUUAAAUUGCAUUGCACCCUAAUACAUCCUAUUCUAAAAUAAAUUAUUAUUUUACUCUGUUUAAUUCGGCAGAACAAUUUUACUUUUUCAGAUCUUAAAGUCAGACAAAAGUUCUGAGGGUUGUGGUGAAUCACAAGGAACUUACAUUGAUGUUUUAAAAGAGAAAAUUGCCAAGAUAGAUAAGGAAAUUGAUGAACUGGGGAUAGAAUAUUCUGAAGAUGAACUGCAGAUCCAUAUUGAUAAACUACAUGAAUAUAAUGAAAUUAAAGACACUGGACAACUACUGCUUGGAAAAAUUGGUAAGCUGGACACCCC